GUCAGAUAUGCCACUGAAUCAAAGCCCAAGCAUACAGGAAAAGCUGGCAAUACCAACAGAAGACUCCAUAAUAUGGUACACCUUAAAGGAACACUAUAGGGUCAGGAACACAAACCUGUAUUACAGACCCUAUAUAGUGUUAAAACCACCAUCUAGCCCCCUGGCCUGCCCUUGCCCCCCUAAAUAUAGCAAAUUUUUACUCUUAUUCCAGUCUGCUGACGGCUCUGCCUCUAAUCUGCUUGCUUGGCUGACAUCAUCAUAAGUGUUCUGAGUCAAUCACAACGCUUUGUCAUAGGAAAGCAAUGGAUUGGAUGAUAUUGUCAAGGAGGCAGAUAAG